GGAAGCGUUGGGAAAUCGAAGGAGGCAUGCGAUGCAUGAGAAAGACUUUCACUUCUGUUCCCUCUUCCUGGCUCCCCGGACCAAACAUGCACCCCCUUUCCUGUGUUCUCCCUGCCGUCCGCCUGGCCUCACCCUGUCCGCGGUAGGUAAGACUCAAAACAGCCUCUGCCUGCGGCAGAAUUCGACCUCCUCUCGGUUGCAUAUCAGCCGUGCACGUGUUACUUGCAUUAGCAGACGGCAGGGGAGCAAAUGCGGCGGUGAAAUGCGGGCAGAUGUGAGCUCAUGUCUCUUCCAGGCCUUUUCUCUUCCAGAUGAGAAGACGGAAGCCCAGAAAGGCACACUGAUUCUCCAACAUCACACAGCUAAACAGCAGCUCUCUGAUCUCCUUGAGCCCACCAGGCAGCCCUCUGAUGCGUUAAAAGGACACAGCCUGGAGAAGGAUGCACCCCAAAUAACGAUCAGGGCAUGUGGAAAUUCCCAGUCCAAGCAACUCAAGCUGCUGCAGGGACAAUGCCAGAUCCUUAACCCUCUGCACCACAAGGGAACUCCUUAAAUUUCUUAAAAUAAGCAGGAAAAACUUCUAUACGUAAAUUCUUUUUUUUUUCUUUUUUUGCUUUUUAGGGCCACACCCGAGGCAUGUGGAGGUUCCCAGGCUAGGGGUCCAAUUGGAGCUACAGCUGCUGGCCCACACCACAGCCACAGCAAUGUCACAUCCAAGCCACGUCUGCAACCUACACCACAGCUCACAGCAAUGCCUGAUCCUUAACCCACUGAGCAAGGCCAGGGCUCGUACCUGUGUCCUCAUGCUAGUCAGAUUAGUUUCCACUGAGCCACAACGAGAACACCAGCCUGUAACAGCUUUGACCACCGUUUAUGUCCCAGUGGGUUUAACAGUAUCUGGAUACAGUAAAUGCUCGGUUAUAUAAGAUGAGAUACAUAAUGAAAGAAUCACUGGUAUAUGUACCAUUUUAUGUGAGCUAAGAUGGAGAACUUUUUAUUUACCAGAAUUGCACAGUAUUUGGUGUGUGUAGGGGGGCUGCUGUUGAACUACUUGAAGUGAGGUGUUCCUGUUGUGGCACAGUGGAAACAAAUCCAACUAGUAUCCAUGAGGAUGUGGGUUCGAUCCCUGGCCUUGCUCAGUUAAAAAGAAAAAAAAAAUCUUCUUGGGGAAAUAACAAUUAAAAAAAAAGAAAAAAAUUUUUUUUAAUUCUUGGCGUUCCCCAGUGGCACAGCAGGUUAAGUAUCAAGUGUUGUCACUGCAGUGGCUUGGGUUGCUGCUGUGGUGUGAGUUUAGUCCCUGGCUUGGGAACUUCCAUAUGCCACAGGUGUCGCCAAAAAAAAAUAAUAAUAAUUAAUAGUAAAAAAUGAAUUAAAAAAACUUCUUGAAAAAAAUCAGACUUUAUUUUUUGGUGGCAUGCAGAAUUUCCUGGGUCAGGGAUCGAACCCAUGCCACAUCAGUGACCUGAGCCACAGCAGUGACAAUUGCCAUAUCCUUAACUACUAGGCCACCAGGGAACACUGAAAAAUGAGACUUUAAAGCCAUAUCUGAUCUAUGAGUGGUUCUGGCAAGAUUAUUUUGCAUGUGAAAAAUGCAGAGAGAAAUUGGAAAAGGAGCAAGACAGACGGGGCGAGGUGGUGAAGAGAUUCUAAGAGUUGGGAAUGAAUGUCUGGGAGUUCCUGUCGUGGCUCAGUGGUUAACGAAUCUGACUAGGAACCAUGAGCUUGUGGGUUCGAUCCCUGCCCUUGCUCAGUGGGUUAAGGAUCCAGCAUUGCCGUGAGCUGUGGUGUAGAUUGCAGACGAGGCUCGGAUCCUGCGUUGCUGUGGCUCUGGCGUAGGCUGGCAGCUACAGCUCUGAUUAGACCCCCUAGCCUGGGAACCUCCACAUGCCACGGGAGCGGCCCUAGAAAAGGCAAAAAGACAAAAAAGAAAAAGAAAAAAGGUGACAAUGUCUUUCGGUGAGCUGAUCUCACAUGUGAAAAUCAUGAAAUGAUUGCUGCAGGUAGAUGUCGCAGGGCAAGCUGUGAAGGAUUUUUAGAAUCAUUCAUUUUGGACUGGAUUGAUUAGAAGGCUAAUACCAUUGACAUGAACGGGACUCAGGGGAAAUGGUGAACAGGUUAUUCCACCAGAAUUCCUCCCAAUGAGUGGCUCCCAUAGGUAGCAGGGAGUCAGCGAAUGUUCCUGAGCGUGGCAUCACGGUGGUGACAGUGUUUGAGGCGGCAACUGAGUUUCUACUGUCUUUCCAGGGACAGGGGUGCAGCGUGGACAUCCCCCAGGCUUUCCCACCACCCCUCUCCCAUGCUUAGGCACUUUACUGACCAUGGAGGCUGGAAAAGCCACCUCAUCUUCAUGCUAAACCUCUUCAGGCUUGGCAAAGAAAUGAAGAAAUAGGACACAGCCUAAGUGCUUACGUAAUCUACGUAAACUGGGAAUUUCUGAGAUGAAGUGUUUGGCUCUGACCCUUCAUGUGACAUAGUUUAAUUAAUUUUCUAUUCUCACUUCCCUCUUUCCUCCACCACCUUGGCCACUGGAAGCCUACCUAUUCAGCUGGUAUUGCUGCUAGAAGGGAUACCAGAUGCAUGAAGGGCAGUCAUGUUUUCUGGAUUUGGAAUAUAGCUGGAUUCACAUGUAAAGGAUAUAGCUUUUUUUUUUUCUAGGGCCACACCUGUGG
rnacentral:lncRNA from 9 species